rnacentral:rRNA from 1 species
AGAGUUUGAUCAGUGGCUCAGGACGAACGCUGGCGGCGCGCUUAAUACAUGCAAGUCGAACGAGAAGCCAGAGCUUGCUCUGGUGGAAAGUGGCGAACGGGUGAGUAACACGUGAGAAACCUGCCCCAAAGAUUGGGAUAAGCCUUGGAAACGAGGUCUAAUACCAAAUACCUUCUUUUUAACACAUGUUAAAAGAAGAAAUGCUCCGGCGCUUUGGGAUGGUCUCGCGAUCUAUCAGCUUGUUGGUGAGGUAACGGCUCACCAAGGCAUCGUCGGAUAGCUGGUCUGAGAGGAUGUCCAGCCACAUUGGAACUGAGACACGGUCCAAACUCCUACGGGAGGCAGCAGUAGGGAAUCUUGCACAAUGAGGGAAACCUUGAUGCAGCGACGCCGCGUGCGGGACGAAGGCCCUAGGGUUGUAAACCGCUUUCAGUAGGGACGAAAGUGACGGUACCUACAGAAGAAGCCCCGGCCAACUAUGUG